AUUCAUGAUACAUCCCCAGGGUGUGCUGACUCUGCUGACCCAGAAGGACUAAGACCCUUCUUAAAAACGGUUCUCCUUCUUCAGGGUGGCUGACUACCUGCUAUGAUGAUAAGAAGCUUUUUACAUCGUCGCCGUACCAGGAAAGAGCCGAUGGAAACCUAACACAGGAUGCAAGAUUGGCAUUAUCCUCAAACAAGCGAUGUAGUCGUAAAAUAGAACAUUUUUAUUUCCUUAACAAGCUCUUACUUAUGUUGUAGCUGCCUCCAUCCCAAAGAGUGGGGCUUUACUUUGUGCCUUGCGAAUACCUAAGGAAUGUCAAAAGUAUAAAGGAAUCUCAGCACUCAGCAUCCCCUGGCUGGGAGCACAGCCCACGGUACUGACGUUACUCAUUUGUUCCCGGCUAUCUAUAUUUAUCCUGUGAACUUUGAAUCACGUUAUUUUUAACAUAGCUACAACUUCCCCGAUAGCACCCAGCCUAAUAAAUACAGAUGGCUUCUUU